rnacentral:rRNA from 1 species
UGUGCUAAUACCGGAUAAGCCCUUACGGGGAAAGAUUUAUCGCCGAAAGAUCGGCCCGCGUCUGAUUAGCUAGUUGGUGAGGUAAUGGCUCACCAAGGCGACGAUCAGUAGCUGGUCUGAGAGGAUGAUCAGCCACAUUGGGACUGAGACACGGCCCAAACUCCUACGGGAGGCAGCAGUGGGGAAUAUUGGACAAUGGGGGCAACCCUGAUCCAGCCAUGCCGCGUGAGUGAUGAAGGCCCUAGGGUUGUAAAGCUCUUUUGUGCGGGAAGAUAAUGACGGUACCGCAAGAAUAAGCCCCGGCUAACUUCGUGCCAGCAGCCGCGGUAAUACGAAGGGGGCUAGCGUUGCUCGGAAUCACUGGGCGUAAAGGGUGCGUAGGCGGGUCUUUAAGUCAGGGGUGAAAUCCUGGAGCUCAACUCCAGAACUGCCUUUGAUACUGAAGAUCUUGAGUUCGGGAGAGGUGAGUGGAACUGCGAGUGUAGAGGUGAAAUUCGUAGAUAUUCGCAAGAACACCAGUGGCGA